rnacentral:rRNA from 1 species
AUUGAACGCUGGCGGCAGGCCUAACACAUGCAAGUCGAACGAGUGGCGGACGGUGGAGUAAUGUCGAGGAAACUGCCCGAAGGAGAGGGAUAACUACUGGAAACGGUAGCUAAUACCGCAUUCCAUGCGCUGUGCCCAGGUGGGGUUGGCUGGUAGGUGAGGUAACGGCUCACCUAGGCGGCGAUCCCUAGCUGGUCUGAGAGGAUGACCAGCCACACUGGAACUGAGACACGGUCCAGACUCCUACGGGAGGCAGCAGUGGGGAAUAUUGCACAAUGGGCGCAAGCCUGAUGCAGCCAUGCCGCGUGUAUGAAGAAGGCCUUCGGGUUGUAAAGUACUUUCAGCGGGGAGGCGUUACCCGCAGAAGAAGCACCGGCUAACUCCGUGCCAGCCGCCGCGGUAAUUC